rnacentral:rRNA from 1 species
GGAGUUAGCCGGUGCUUCUUCUGUGAGUGAUGUCCUUCCUGCCGGCUAUUAACCCGCAGGCCUUCUUCCUCACUGAAAGUGCUUUACAACCCGAAGGCCUUCUUCACACACGCGGCAUGGCUGGAUCAGGGUUGCCCCCAUUGUCCAAUAUUCCCCACUGCUGCCUCCCGUAGGAGUCUGGGCCGUGUCUCAGUCCCAGUGUGGCUGAUCAUCCUCUCAGACCAGCUACGGAUCGUCGCCUUGGUGAGCCGUUACCUCACCAACCAGCUAAUCCGACAUAGGCUCAUCCGAUAGCGCGAGGCCCGAAGGUCCCCCGCUUUCCCCCGUAGGGCGUAUGCGGUAUUAGCCUGGGUUUCCCCAGGUUAUCCCCCACUACCGGGCAGAUUCCUAUGCAUUACUCACCCGUCCGCCGCUCGCCACCAGGGAGCAAGCUCCCCGUGCUGCCGCUCGACUUGCAUGUGUUAGGCCUGCCGCCACGCGUCAUCUGAGCCAUAAUACAACUACUGA